UGAACGCUAGCGACAGGCUUAACACAUGCAAGUCGGAGGGGUAACAGGGUAGCAAUACCGCUGACGACCGGCGCACGGGUGAGUAACGCGUAUGCAACCUGCCUAUAACUGGGGAAUAGCUCCCUGAAAGGGGAAUUAACACCGCAUAACACUAUUGAUUCGCAUGGAUUAGUAGUUAAAUGUAGCGAUACAGGUUAUAGAUGGGCAUGCGUGACAUUAGCUAGUUGGUGAGGUAACGGCUCACCAAGGCUACGAUGUCUAGGGGUUCUGAGAGGAAGGUCCCCCACACUGGUACUGAGACACGGACCAGACUCCUACGGGAGGCAGCAGUGAGGAAUAUUGGUCAAUGGGCGCAAGCCUGAACCAGCCAUGUCGCGUGCAGGAAGACUGCCCCUAUGGGUUGUAAACUGCUUUUAUAGUGGAAGAAACACAUCUACGUGUAGAUGUCUGCCAGUAUACUAUGAAUAAGCAUCGGCUAACUCCGUGCCAGCCGCCGC
rnacentral:rRNA from 1 species